UACUGCUUUUAAUGCAACAUG
rnacentral:piRNA from 1 species